rnacentral:rRNA from 1 species
GGACUACCCGGGUUUCUAAUCCUGUUUGCUCCCCACGCUUUCGCACCUCAGUGUCAGUAUCAGUCCAGGUAGUCGCCUUCGCCACUGGUGUUCCUUCCUAUAUCUACGCAUUUCACCGCUACACAGGAAAUUCCACUACCCUCUACCAUACUCUAGCUUGCCAGUUUUGGAUGCAGUUCCCAGGUUGAGCCCGGGGAUUUCACAUCCAACUUAACAAACCACCUACGCGCGCUUUACGCCCAGUAAUUCCGAUUAACGCUUGCACCCUCUGUAUUACCGCGGCUGCUGGCAC